rnacentral:misc_RNA from 1 species
UCCGGUUUGUCACCGGCAGUCUCAUUAGAGUGCCCAACUAAAUGUAGCAACUAAUGACAAGGGUUGCGCUCGUUGCGGGACUUAACCCAACAUCUCACGACACGAGCUGACGACAGCCAUGCAGCACCUGUGUUCUGGCUCUCUUUCGAGCACUCCUGCAUCUCUGCGGGAUUCCAGACAUGUCAAGGGUAGGUAAGGUUAUUCGCGUUGCAUCGAAUUAAUCCACAUCAUCCACCGCUUGUGCGGGUCCCCGUCAAUUCCUUUGAGUUUUAAUCUUGCGACCGUACUCCCCAGGCGGACAACUUCACGCGUUAGCUGCGGUACUGAGAAAUCGCUUCCCCAACACCUAGUUGUCAUCGUUUAGGGCGUGGACUAC